CUAAUCCUUCCUCUCUCUCUCUCUCUCUCUCUCUCUCUCUCUCCAAAAAAAGGACCCCGUCCCAAAUCCAUAAUCCUCCUCCUCCAUCAAGCCCCAAAAUCCCUCCUCCGUCGACUUCCCUCGAGCUCCCCCAAAUCCGCCAACUCCGACGACUUCACCAACUCCGCCUCCCUCCCAACAUCACCCCCCAUCUCUAAGUGAACUCCGUCGAUCUCCCUCAAGCUCUCUAAGUGAACUCGUCCAACUCCGCUAACUUCCCCCUCCUCCGGCGACUUCCCCUUCCUCCGCCGACUUCCCCCAACUCAUCCGACGAGAAUGUAUCCCUUUUCAGGUUGGAGAUUGUAUUAGCCUGCUGCAACUUGCUCGUGAGCUUCUAUAUCCGACCACGGCUGAUCUCCCUCGAGUUCUCUCUCGAGAUCCCCCAACUCAGAUGGCAAACAGCAUUUGCUAGAGUUUGAGCAGAGACUUUUCGGAUCCAACAAGGUUGUCGAAGCCGAAAAUUCUCCCAUCCGAUCCACAUCCAAUUUUCAACUAGAGGGGCCAGACAUCUUCGGAUUGGAGAAAACAGUUCUUUGAGUUAUCCCGUGUGCAGAACGGAGCAAUAAAACUACGGAAGUACAUCAUGAUCUUUAAAAUAUGUAAUGAUGGAUAAUGUUUUGGAAAUAUAUCUAGUUUCAGUUUUGGAAAUA